CAUGUCGAUUUUUUUGAGAGCCAAAAAGUCCUUCUCCACUUCUCUGAUCUCUCAAAUCCUUGUCUCGCUUUCAGAGGUGCAACCACACCACGUUAGGCGAAAGAAGUUUGCAAGCUGAAUUAUAUUCUAAAAUGGCUCCAGCGGCUAAUCGCACUCUUCCACCAAUUGACACGUCAAAUUGGAAGAAAAUCCAAGCAAG